rnacentral:piRNA from 1 species
UCCUUGAAGGGAUUUCUUGGGUAGAUGC